UACAAUAUAAGAGACAUGAUCUAAUUGUGUCACUGGGCAAACUAUCGUAACUGAAUUUUAAAAGAGGGUAAACCUCAUUUCCCAAACCUGGAAAUUGAGAACUUGAUGUGCUUAACACCUCAAUUGCAUAAGUCCAUUCUUCAGGUGUCUUCUUGCAAGCCAUAGCUCGGCCAGUGGUAAUAAGUGCCAGCGGCAAACCACCACACUCCUUAGCCACUGUAUGUGCUAGCUCAACAAUAUCAGGAUGACUAUGCAGGGCUUCUUCCCCAACUUUCUGUCGAAACAAUUCCCAAGCAUCGAUAUCUGAUAAGCACGCGACUUUAAAUUUCUUAUGAGCUUCCAUCAAACCACAAACUUCUUCGGAACGGGUAGUGAAUACCACUUUGGAUGCAUUAUUUUGUGGGCCAGGAAGAGGGACGCCCACUUUUGUUAAAUCAACCCGCUGCCAUAAGUCAUCUAGCAACAGCACAAACUUCUUCCCCUUCAAAAUCCUGAAGAUGUCUAAAGCUUUCUGUUCAAUUCUUCUAUUCUUCCAUCCACCGUUCAACAAACCAAUCUUCUCCCCGAUAGUUUCUUGAAGGUUUUCAAGUCGCAGGUCUUUUGACACGACGACCCAUAUCACAUAAUUAAAAUUAGUUGGACUCUCAAGAAAUUUGUUGUUGAUCUGGGUCAAUAGUGUAGUUUUACCGACACCGCCCAUGCCGUAUAGGCCAACAAUUCCGACUGAUUCUUCUUGAAUACAUCUCCAAACUUGCUCGAGUUGCGAUUGCAGGCCUACUACUGUCGGCUCGAUAGGCCUUUCAUCCGCUACUGAUUCUGGAGCUCUCUCAGCUACCACUUCAAAGGCUCCUUCGGCCAUUAAAGUCCCGACAUAUCUUAGCUUUUUGGUCACUUUUUUGCCAAACUUGUAACUUGAAUGGCAGUUCUUGGAACAGUAGCCUCCAAGACAUAGUUUCUCAAUUUCUUGAGAGCCAUGUCUUAUCAAUUCAUCAGCUUCAGCUUUAACAGCGUCCACCCUCGAAAGCCAGCCUUGAACUUUGUUCAGCCUGGUCAUCAUUGGUUGCCUUUCAGCGUUGACGACUCUCGCCAUCACAUCGUUCUUUGCUUCGAUUAGUUUUCCCAAUUCAGUCUCCAAGGCUACAACAUUGUCUUGCAGGUUUCUUAUAUAUGCUGCUUUUCCAAGAAAGCAAUCCAGGCAACGACUGAAAAUAGCACCAUCGAUUGAGAUUUGCAAAAUGUUACCCAUUUUUUUUGGAUAAUAGAAAUCAACUACGAGAAACCAAGAUAAUUUUAGCAGAAGCUGCUGCUGAUUGAAAAAAUUGUGUUUUGUAAAUUUAGAAAGGAUUAGGCAUGUACCAUUCCUGACUGCUUCACUUGCCUUCAAUAAAUUAGCCUUUUGCUUUUGUAAUUAAUUUAACAUUUAUCCUUAACUCGUAAUUUAAUAAAAGAAUUAUUCUUGUUGUCAUUAUGACCUUGCUUUUUGUUGUUCCAUUUGUAAUUAAAUAUAACAACUUUUGCUUUUUUGUUCCACUAACGUAUAAUAUUACUUUUCUGACCAAGGCUUCCAAUAAGGUUGAUCAUGAUAAUUGAGGGGAAACAACGCAGCAAACCUUUUUUUUUUUUUUCCGAAUUGGCAUGUCGUUUAAAUAAAAUUCAUAAAAUAAAGAAACAUUGGUUCAGAAAAAUAAAUAUUUGAUUAAAAUUUAUUGUGUUUAUAUUACAUUAACCAUUGGCCGUCAUAGUAUAUGCAGAGUAAUUAAUUAAACCCCAUAUCAAUAAAGUAUUGGCUCUACUGGUAUCAGAGUCUUCUGAAGUAGUUUGACUGGGUUUGCUAUCCAGUUCGAGUCGUAGGGAAGUCGUAUUUGUUGGGAGAACAUGUGUCUCUCAGUUCAAGCAGAGACUUCUAAUCUGAGUUGUGGUACGAGCUUAAAGGUGCAUUCUACAGUUGAAGUCCUCCCUAAAAUACCUCGUGGUUAAGAUAAAAAAAAAAAUUAAUCAAACCCCAUUGAAAGUCAAAGUUGGUAACCGGCUAGCUAGAGCGCCAUAAUAAAAUACAAUAGAUAUAGCAAGUUAAAUCAUCUGAAAACCGACAUGAAAUGUUUAAUUGGGCAAAUAAUGGCAUUAGACUAAUGCAGUAACAUGAUAAUAUCAAAUAAUAAUUGUGUCAUAGAGAGUGGUUUGCAAACAAACUUUUGCUAAUCUUGAUUGUGACACCCUAUAUAAUAAACGAAAUUAGCCCCCCUUUAAUUGCCAAUUGCCAUAAGUUAUAGUAGUAAUUUUCUCAGCAAUUUCAUAAUAAUUCAUCAGUCAGCUAGAAGAAAACAAAUAUUUUUCCUGCUUCUCGAAUUGAAAAAACACCUAUCUCGUAGUUUUUAGUUUUUCCUCAAUGAAUUUCUCUGUUUGUCAAAAACAAUACUGUAAAACUCCCAAGAUCUUAUACUUUCCAUUUCUUAAAUACAACAAUUUCUUUCUGAUUUGCAGAAAAAAAUUAAUUCAGAACAACAUAUGACAAUAUGACUUCAUAUCAUACAGUAAUCAUCAUCUCUGUUUCCAACUGCAAAAGAUCCGAUUUCUAAAGUUAUAAAGCAUAUAUGUUUAUUUCUCUGUGUGGAAUAAUUUGAGUUAGGUCGAAGUGCAAAAGAUUUGACUUGAACUGUAUUCUAAAUGAAAAUAUAAUUAUAAAUAAUUGUAGACUAAUAAAAAAACUAGUUUUGAAAAAUAAUAAAACAAGAAUUUGAAAAAGACUAUGCAAUCGAGAUAUUCGAUUGAUCGAUUCUUGACUACUUGCGUUUAAUAACUGAGCCAAUCGUCUAUCCCACUUGUAUUCAAAAAAAUCCACUUUAAUUUGUAGUUUAUCGUAGUUUAAUAAAAGAUUCCAACUGGUAGUUUUGUUACUUUUGCUUUUGUGGAAUAUGCUCUUGCUUUUUCUGUCAGCAUUAAUUUGUAAGAAGAAGUUAAAAGGAACUACACAACCCCACACUGCAACAUACUUCUCGGCUUCAUAAUGGCAUGGCCCAUUCCACGGCCGAAGUAGCUUUAGAAAGUGCAGAAUCAAUAAUGUGGUUCAACGAAUGUCCUACACAUAUUUUGCACCUUUUUCAAAGUUGAAUUAUUGAAAGCUAAACUUUUAUUUAAAAAAUAUAUAUAUAUAACAACUUUUACUUUCUUGUGCGGUCGUGCCACCAACGAUUAAAAUAUUAAAAGCAAUUAACGUAUAGUAUUACUUUUCUCACCAACGUUUCCAACAAGGUUGAUCGUGACAAUGGGGAGGAGACAAACGCGCUGAUUUUCUUUCUUUCUUUCUUUUUUUAAAUUGGGAUAUCGUUUAAAUAAAAUUCAUAAAAUAAAGAAACAAUUAUUCAGAAAAUUCCUAUUUGAUUAAAAUUCAUAUUUGAUUAAAAUAAAGAAACAACGUUUCCAGUACACAGGCAUGAAGAAGAAUACCCAGAAUAUGGUAUCCUUGGUUUUGUUCUCCAAACCUGUCCCUCUCUGACAAAAAUCCCUCGCCGAUCCAACAAUCUAUCAAAUUCUCUUUAGAAAUGCAAUAAUCUUUUGGAUAUAAACUACAAUAUAAGAGACAUGAUCUAAUUGUGUCAUUGGGCAAACUAUCGUAACUGAAUUUUAAAAGAGGUAAAUGUUGUGAAAAUUUUAAUAUACUCGCAAGUGCAAGAAUCUAGAAAUAGAGUAGUGGUAACAAGGUCGAUCCCACAGGGAUUGUUAUAAAUUGAAAAGUCUAAUUUAAAUCUAAAAUUAAUAUUAAUUCUAACCUAGUUGACCAAAUUGAGUUUCUAAGAAAAUUAAACCAAUUAAACUAAGGAAGCAAUUAAAAUAAAGGAGAAUUCAAUAAGACAACAAUUACCAAGGUUUUAGAAUCCACUACUAUUCAACUAGUAAUUAUCUAAAUAUUAAUUAAUCUCCAAUUUUAGACUGACAACUCGAAAUCAAUCUAUGUCAUUUCAUAAAUAUAACAAUUAAACCCAAUUAAUUAAAUCUAACAUAGGUUCUUUUUCCGCUUAAUAGUAUGACAUCUAAGUAUCCCAUGUGAACAUAUUGAAUAACAAAGAGUCAAAGUUUUCCUAAGCACUUCAUGUAAACAAUUUAAUGAAAGACAUAAAAUCAAAGAUAAUCAUGUGUAAACUUUGUAAAUCCAAGUAUAGGUUUAAUCGAAUAUUAAUCCUAACAAUCAAUAAUGCAUGACAGAAUUGAUGAAAAGAUUUUAAUAACAUCAAAUUAAUCAUGUGAAAUAAAAACCAUAAUUAUUAAAGAACAUAUAUGAAAAUUAAAUAAAUAAAAAGAUAAUUAUUUCAUUGAAUAGGGUUUCAUCUUUAACUUCAGUAUAAGAAAAUUAGCUAGACAUACUUAAAUUAAGAACAACAAAAAAAAUAAAUCCAGCCAUGGAAGUCGAACUACUGCAGAUUUUCUUCUCUGUCUCGCGUUUUUCCUCCUCUGGCGGCUCUCCCCUACUCUAAAGCCAAAGUUUGGCUUUUAUAUUUUUAAUCCCUAGCCGAAUCCUUGUCAAAUAAUGAUAGCUAGUGAAUUGCUCACACAAGCUAAAAUCAGCCCACUCUUGCAAAGCCCAAUUAAACUUCCUUUAAUCCUUCAUGUGCUGGCAAAGCUUUUAACUUGUCUUGGCUUCUAUCACGUGUACUCCAAAAAGAAUUUUCAUUCCUUUUCCACUCACGAAAGUCAAGUGCGGGUCCUUUCUAUUGCUUUCCACCCCUUUAUCUUCUUUGUCCGCAUGUGCAUGGGUAAAUGAAUUUGUGGAAGUCGGUUUCCUUGGCUUGAAUUAACAUGGCAUAAUUGUUUCCAAGUUAAUUAAGCUUUAAUGCCCACAAAUUGAACUUCUUUAUGCUCUUUUUGUCCAUAAUCUCUAAUUAAUUCCCUAUUCAAUAAAACAAUACAAUUAAUUAAAAAUAACAAAUAAAAAUAACUAACAAUUAAAUAAUUAAGGGUAAAAUAUGUAUAUAAAUUAUGCUUAUCAAUAAACCUCAUUUCCCAAACCUGGAAAUUGAGAACUUGAUGUUCUUAACACCUCAAUUGCAUAAGUCCAUUCUUCAGGUGUCUUCUUGCAAGCCAUAGCUCGGCCAGUGGUAAUAAGUGCCAGCGGCAAACCACCACACUCCUUAGCCACUGUAUGUGCUAGCUCAACAAUAUCAGGAUGGCUAUGUAGGGCUUCUUCCCCAACUUUCUGUCGAAACAAUUCCCA
rnacentral:lncRNA from 1 species